CCUGGCUAAUCUCUGCAUUUUUUGUUAGAGGUGGGAUUUCACCAUGUUGGCCAGGCUGGUCUCAAACUCUUGACCUCAAAUGAUCCACCCACCUCAGCCUCCCAAAAUGAUGGGAUUACAGGCAUGAGCCACCAUGCCCAGCAUACCCUUACUUUUAUUUUACACUAUGAAACUUCACAAAAUAAAAUAUGUAGUAUGAGUUAAAUUAUUUUCUAAUAUUUUAUAUUCAAGUAAACAUACAUGGUUAAUAAUCCCAGCUGAGGGAGGCUAAGGCAGGAGAAUCACUUGAACCUGGCAGGCAGAGGUUGCAGUGAGCUGAGAUCGUGCCACUGCACUCCAGCCUGGGCAACAGAGCGACACCCUAUCUCAAAAAAAAAGGAAACUAAAAGAAAACCUGAAGAAAAGACACACUAUAUUCAGAGAAACAAAUAUUCAGAGAAUAUACACACUAUAUUCAGAAAGACACACUAUAUACAGAGAAACAAACCACCACGCCCAGCUAAUUUUUAUAUUUUUAGUAGAGAUGGGGUUUCACCAUGUUGGCCAGGCUGGUCUCAAACUUAAUGCUUAAUCUGUAUUCCUUACAGAUGUUGAACCAUUUUAAAUAAUCCCAGAAAACAGGCAUUCUAACAAGCACUUUAUUAAAGGGAAAGUCCCUACACUUUCACAUAAAGAAGUCUAAAAUGCUUUUAGACAGUGGAGACAGAAAACUCAACUCGCUCAAAGCUUAAACUUAAUUUGUUAGGUAGUUCCAGCACCUGCCUGGUGUAGGGCGACCAGUGACUGGGGCGACUGCUCGGGAAAAGUGCUGAUGCCAUAUCCAGCUGCCCCUUUCGUGAAUGACAGUAACAAUGCAAACACUGACAAAAGAGCUGGGAGCCCCCCCACCCCCAAGCCCCUGCUUAGCAGUACUUCCACCCCAGCCCCAACAUACAAAGUGACAAAUCCCUGAAAGGCCCUCCUCUGACAUAUCUCCCCAUGCAGAGACCUCGUCUGUAGUCUGGUAACGUAAAAAAGUGCUACCCUUCACUCCCUGCAAGACAGCGGAGCCCCUUAAAGGUGCGGGGAAACGCUGCCUCCUUCUCCAGCACCAGAGGCACGGGGCGAGAAGACUU
rnacentral:lncRNA from 1 species